rnacentral:rRNA from 1 species
UGGGGAAUAUUGGACACUGUGCGAAAGCCUGAUCCAGCCAUGCCGCUUGUGUGAAUAAGGUCUUCGGCUUGUAAAGCACUUUAAGUUGGGAGGAAGGGCAGUAAGCGAAUACCUUGCUGUUUUGACGUUACCGACAGAAUAAGCACCGGCUAACUCUGUGCCAGCAGCCGCGGUAAUACAGAGGGUGCAAGCGUUAAUCGGAAUUACUGGGCGUAAAGCGCGCGUAGGUGGUUCGUUAAGUUGAAUGUGAAAGCCCCGGGCUCAACCUGGGAACUGCAUCCAAAACUGGCGAGCUAGAGUAGGGCAGAGGGUGGUGGAAUUUCCUGUGUAGCGGUGAAAUGCGUAGAUAUAGGAAGGAACACCAGUGGCGAAGGCGACCACCUGGGCUCAUACUGACACUGAGGUGCGAAAGCGUGGGGAGCAAACAGG